CUUCUAUCAUUCUUUAACACAACUCUCAUACACACAUAUGUAAAUCAAAAUUCAUAAAUAAAAACAUUCUGAAGAAGAUAUGAACAAUAGCCAUCAAGCGACAAGGAGAAAACUCAUUGUCAUACUCAUUCUCACAUUGUACGUAAAUUCUUAAUUAUUGUUUCUGAAUCAACUAAUAAUUUACGAUCUACAACAGACACUCGAAGCACAACUGAAUAACAAAUUGAAGUGAAAAAGUAAAAUAUAAAAAAAAAUAGACAAUUUAGGUAUAAGCAUAAAGUGUAAACCCAAUAAAAACUACAAAAUCAAAA